GUGCGGUCACAAAAAACAACGUUUUUGAACGUUGGCUCUGCCAACGGCUCCGAAGGAGUAAACAAAUCACGUUAGUGAUUUACGAAUAAUAUUGAC
rnacentral:ncRNA from 1 species